rnacentral:lncRNA from 1 species
CACCCUAACUUAUAUUCACAACACAACACAUACGCAGCUCCCAUUUCCCUUUUCCCUCUCUCCCUCGGUCUCCCUUCCUGCCGCCGCCACCGGACGGCGCGCCGCCGCCGGAGGCCGGCGGCUCUGCCUCCUUUCUCCUCCCCCUUCUUCCUAUCUCUCUUUCACCCCUCACUUCUCGCCCUCUUCCCUCAUCUCCCUUCCUCCUCCCCUGCCCUUGUCCUCACCGCACCAGCCGCAGCUGCGGCCGCUCAUUUCUCCGGCGGCGAAGGUCGCCGCCUGCCAGCGUCACCACUACGUCCAUGCCUCCCACCUCUCAUCUCCCUCUCGCCGACAACAGCCACGGCAAUAGCAGCAGCUGAUCGGUCCGCCACCUCCCUUUCCAGAUCCAGCGCCACCACUGCCCCUGCCUCUUUCCGCCGGCCGUCGUGUCGCGCAGCUCCGGCGGUAUUGUUGCUCAACCGUUUCCCCUCUUCUUCCCUCUAUAUUCCUAAACCUCCAUUUCUCUUUCUGCCUCCCCUAUUUCUAUUUCCUUUUCCAUGUAAUUUAUAAGAUCUAUUCUAUUUGAUUUCUUAUUAAAUAUAAAUGAUAGAUUUGAUGAUGUAUGCAUGUAUGAAUUUGGAAAUCUUGGUUUUGAGCAGAGAAUGAAGAAACAAUUGAGAUGCUGAAAUGAAUUUUCAUAGUAUCUGCACAAAAGAAAUCAAAAUUACCACUUGAGCGAAAAUGAACAGACGAGAAGUUGGUGUAAGAAAACAAACGAGGAAAACGAAUUGGUGAUGAUGAAUUGAGGAUGAUGCAAUGAGGUUUAAAUAGAUUGAAUUACUUG